UACGUAGGGGGCAAGCGUUGUCCGGAUUUAUUGGGCGUAAAGAGCGUGUAGGCGGCUAGGUAGGUCCGUUGUGAAAACUCGAGGCUCAACCUCGAGACGUCGAUGGAAACCUCUAGCUAGAGUCCGGAAGAGGAGAGUGGAAUUCCUGGUGUAGCGGUGAAAUGCGCAGAUAUCAGGAAGAACACCCGUGGCGAAGGCGGCUCUCUGGGACGGUACUGGACGCUGAGAGCGAAAGCGUGGGGAGCGAACAGG
rnacentral:rRNA from 1 species